ensembl:snRNA
GUGUUGUGUGAAAGGAGAAGGUUGGCACUCCCCUUGACGCCUGACAAUAAGCAUAUGGUUAAGGCACUGCCACCUACGAUGUGACAUCUAACCACUGUUUUUA